GAUGAACGCUGGCGGCGUGCCUAAUACAUGCAAGUCGAGCGAACGGACGAGAAGCUUGCUUCUCUGAUGUUAGCGGCGGACGGGUGAGUAACACGUGGAUAACCUACCUAUAAGACUGGGAUAACUUCGGGAAACCGUAGCUAAUACCGGAUAAUAUUUUGAACCGCAUGAUUCAAAAGUGAAAGACGGUCUUGCUGUCACUUAUAGAUGGAUCCGCGCUGCAUUAGCUAGUUGGUAAGGUAACGGCUUACCAAGGCAACGAUGCAUAGCCGACCUGAGAGGGUGAUCGGCCACACUGGAGCUGAGACACGGUCCAGACUCCUACGGGAGGCAGCAGUAGGGAAUCUUCCGCAAUGGGCGAAAGCCUGACGGAGCAACGCCGCGUGAGUGAUGAAGGUCUUCGGAUCGUAAAACUCUGUUAUUAGGGAAGAACAUAUGUGUAAGUAACUGUGCACAUCUUGACGGUACCUAAUCAGAAAGCCACGGCUAACUACGUG
rnacentral:rRNA from 1 species